CAUUUUCUCUCUUCCCGGCUGGUCCCUCAGGCCAGAAGAAGGGGACAAACCUCUUUCUAGCUUAUAUGAAUUUACACUCAUUUUUGUGCAAAGGAUUUCAGUCAUUUUUCUCUGCUUUCUAAUUUGCCUGAUUUCUCCCUAAUCUUUUUCAGGCUUCUUCAUCUCUCCUUAAUGUUAUCUUUUCCAUGUCUUUUCUUUAUUAUUUUUUUGUAAGGGGUACAAUUCCAUCACUGCCUCUUCGGAAAGAACAGCUUAACCACUGACUGCUUUUGGCUCUUGACGGUUGUUUCAGAGCUUCAUUUAUUUUACUAACCUAGUUUUCUCCCCUCCCUGCCUGCCCCUACCAGGACUGGGUUUAACUGGGUUUAAUGGCGGCGGGCCACCACCCCACAGGGCCCCUUUGAAACAUAAGGGCCAGGCUCCGGCAGGGCUUGUAAAGCCAAACCAAGCCCUGGCCGGGAGCAGGGAGGCCUCACGAGAGGAAAGGCAAAAAAUACGGAAGCAAAAUAGUUUGUUUCCCUCUUGGUGAAAAUGGGUGGGUGUAGAGGACUUCUCGUGCAGCCUGCCUCCCCUCUCUGCGGGCAAGUCAGGCCCGGCGGCGGGAGGCCCCGGGUCCCUCUGCUGCUGCUGUCCCCGCGGCUGAGCGAUGCUGGGCUGACCGCAGCCUGCCAUCACCCCCCCCAGCCCUGAGGAAGCGGCCGGGCCGGAGGCGGCUCCAUGGGGCCUGCGGAGCGGCCGUGAGGGCCGGCCCGCCUCGGGGCAGCGCCUCAGGGGCAGCCCGCGGUGCGAUGCCUGCAGCAGACGUAAGGGGCAGCAGGGGUCCUUCCUUUGGGGAAAAGAUACCCUCAUGCGCAGCGUUUUUCUUUCUGUCGUAGCUUUUACACAUAGAUGCAAAAAGUUUCGUCCCAAGGUGCCAGGCUGGGGUGUGUGAACGCCAGGGGUGUCUCGGUGCUCGCGGGGCGCUUGCUGUUUCACGGCGGGCCGCGGGUGCCUUGCCUCCCCGCCGAGGCGGCAGGCCGCGGGGCAGGCCGCGAGCUGCUGUGGGCCCCUCCGUGUUUCCAUACAGCGCUGGUGGCGGCGUCCAGCUGCAGAAAGGGGACAAGGGCUCGUGUCAAGCAAUAGGCUUCUUCUUGCUUUCCUGCUUCAGUGAAUGCCUGCAAGAGAAAAUCUGGUCAUUUAAAAGGCCACAGAGUUACACUGCAAAGGUGAAGCUUGUGCCAAACAGUUUUUGAGAAGAGUGGCAACAGUUUGAGAUGACUGACUGCAGCUGCGUAGUGUGGGGAUUCUUUUGGCUCAUUGUGCUGCUGUUUCUUGGCUGGCCCAUAAGCAUAGCCUUGUGUGCCCUCUACGGAUUCCUUUCCCCUCUCGCUACUUUAAUAGGACUAGAUGAAUUCAGUGAAGUGUUGCUGAAGGGAGCGUCUUUGGGGAGGCAGUGCGCUCAGAAUGUGCGCAAUGGCAAGCCCCUGUGUUAAGCCAUGAAGACAGCCCUGCGUCUGACAAGCAUUCUGCCGUAUACUACCGGUUUUCAUAGUUUACUCUGUUAAUCUUAAAUGUUUUCAGUUCUAAACAAACUCUUCUUAGUUUUUAACUGUGUAAAUUUCUUUUGAGGGUGUCUAUAAGAAAACUUAAUAAUCCAGCUGUUUCUCUUCUAAAAUAUACAAUAAAAGUUUCAGCUAUUGUUUUGAAAAUAAGAAAUGAUACCAAAUAUUUGGAGAAGUUAACUAAGUACAUAUUUCUCAGGAUUUGAGCUCGGUGUCAAAACCUAAUUAAACAGUUGAAAAUACUGCCUCAGAGGUAGAAUGCACCUAAUCAGUCUGAUCAAGUCACUUGAGAAGAGUAGAUUCUGAAUUGGAAUAUUAUUUUUGUGAAUCUUUUUUUGUGAAUAAUUUUUUAAAUCUGCACUCAGUAAUGAGAGAAAUUCUGAUCUGAUGGCCUUACAGUAUGUAUUUUUUCAUGUUUACAUUUCAGUGCCUGUUUAGUUUAUUUCCUUUUUAAUAGACAUUAGAGUUCUUUUGCAUUACCAUCUUAUUUUGUGUAUAUUUUCUGUGAAGGCAGUUUUUUAGUGGAGCAACUUUGCUUGUGUAGGUUCACUACACUACUUUCAACUAUAUUAAAUAAAUAAACCACUUCUGUGAACACCCUCA